GGGCCUGUAGUGUAGCUUGGUCUAGCAUCGGGGCUUCGGGAGCCUCAGACGGGAGUUCAAAAACAAAAACCUUUUCAAAAAAGGUUCUUGUAAUUUGGAACUAAAGUUCCAAAACUUGGAACAAGGUUCCAAGAUCUCCAAAAUUUGAAAACGCCAGGCGUUUUCCAGAGGAAACGAAAUUCUCCCCGGGCCCACCA
rnacentral:tRNA from 1 species